rnacentral:tRNA from 1 species
UACUUAAAUAGCUUAAUUUUAGAGCGUAUCGUUGAAGUUGAUAGGGUAAUAUUUUUUUUAAGU